UGUCCAGGGUGUUGACCAAUGCCCAAAGAAAGGCACUCCAAGAACUUCCCUGGGGAGAAAACUGGAAUUCAGAAGAGACUGCGCCCCUAGCUCUCUGUCCACAACAAAAAUGUAGCACACCUAUCCAAGUCCAAUUUGGAGAAUCACUGCAACAAAGAAAUUGAAGACAAUGUGCUAAGGGUGCUAUGACCUAUCCUAUACCCAGGUCCUUUUAAGACCAGGGCAGACUCACUCUUCCAGAGUAUGGGACUUCCAAAAGGCACAAAUGCAUCUGUGAAAAAUCAGCACUUCUCAGGGAGGAUCAGUCAGCUUAGCACACCUACUGAUAGAGAGGUGACACUGUAUCCUGGCUUCAGACAUGGCUGCUGCUUCCACGAUUACUGCACAUGUGGCAAACCUUCCUAAUCACUAUGUGUUCUUCAAUGAACAAGCGGAAUGGCCUAGGUAUCCUGCAGGCUUUGAAGAGACACCAUCUAUCUGUUCAAGAUGGUUUGGUGACAAUGGCUGAAGAACUCUGCACAACUACUAAAUAAAUCCCC